rnacentral:rRNA from 1 species
UACGAAGGGUGCAAGCGUUACUCGGAAUUACUGGGCGUAAAGCGUGCGUAGGGGGUUCGUUAAGUCUGAUGUGAAAGCCCCGGGCUCAACCUGGGAACUGCAUUGGAUACUGGCGAUCUGGAGUGCGGUAGAGGGUGGCGGAAUUCCCGGUGUAGCAGUGAAAUGCGUAGAUAUCGGGAGGAACAUCCGUGGCGAAGGCGGCCACCUGGACCAGCACUGACACUGAGGCACGAAAGCGUGGGGAGCAAACAGG